AUUGAACGCUAGCGGGAUGCUUUACACAUGCAAGUCGAACGAGUGGCGGACGGGUGAGUAAUAUAUCGGAACGUGCCCAGUAGCGGGGGAUAACAACUCGAAAGAGUGGCUAGUACCGAAUCCAAUUGGAGCGGACGAUAUCGGAUUAGCUAGUUGGUGGGGCAAAGGCUCACCAAGGCAAUGAUCCGUAGCUGGUUUGAGAGGAAGACCCGCCAUACUGGGACUGAGACACGGCCCAGACUCCUACGUGAGGCAGCAGUGGGUAAUUUUGGACAAUGGGGGAAACCCUGAUCCAGCCAUCCCGCGUGUAUGAGAAGGCCUUCGGGUUGUAAAGUACUUUUGGCAGAGAAGCGGUAUCUGCAGAAUAAGCACCGGCUAACUACGUGCCAGCAGCCGCGGUAAUUC
rnacentral:rRNA from 1 species